AGUUAAAGAAAGGGUCUAAGAGAUUUCACAGUUACCCAGCACUAAUUCACAGUUUGUUUGCCUUGGGUAGGAUACAGCUAAUGCCUCAGAAGCAAGUGCCAGGAGAAGUAGACAACAUUUUAAACAGAAAAAUAUGGCUACAGAAGAAGCACUCUGAUAGUAUCCGACAGAGGUCUGAGUGGAAUGGGAAGCACUUUAUUUGAUGUCAGGGCACUGCUCUUCCUAACACCCUCUGGUUUGGAGCAGCAAAGAUAGCCUGCAAAUUUCAGCCACACAAUGACAAAACUUUUGACAGUAGGAAGAAGUUACACGUAACUCCAAGAGAUCAGCUUCUCCCACUUGCUGGUCACAACUUGGGUCAUUAACAGAAGUGGUGCAAACAAAACUCCCAGAAAAGAUCAAGCAAUCAACAGAACUAAAUAAAUGCAUUAAGGAAUAAAUUAAAGAAACUUGUCUUCAUGCCUGGAGUCAGAACUGAGGCUGAUAGGAGCUGAGUGGAGAAUUGCAGCGGCUGCCAUCCACGUGGCAGCAAGAAUUCAGUGCACAGCAGGUAAGCACAAGCUUGCAGCCCACAACCAACUGCAUUCAACUGAACCCUGAAACCUUUGUUUUCUCUCCAAGUACCUUAAUUUUAAGAAAGACAGCCUUACAUUCACUGAAGCUGUUAGGUAGUAUUCCCAUCCAAACUCCAGUUCCCCCCAGUUUCUACUCAAAACCUCUUUUUUGCUAAAUAAUUCCAUCAAUUUCAGGGCAAAGAGAGAAUAAACAAACCAGAAAAAUCACCUCGUAGAGUCCAGUUCUAUACAUGAAGGGAGCACUCCAGUCAUAGCAACAGCAUUUAUAUUCUGGACCUCUCAUCACACAAAGGGAAACACGGUUUCUAUUAACAGUCAUUAUU